GUCUUCAGACACACCAGAAGAGGGCAUCAGAUGCCCAUUACAGAUGGUUGUGAGCCACCAUGUGGUUACUGGGAAUUGAACUCAGUACCUUUGGAAGCGAGUGGGAGAGCCUGAGUUGCUGGGGAAGUGAAGACCCUGUAGACCAGCACUUCUCAGCCUUCCUAAUGCUGCAACCUUUUAAUACAGUUCCUCGUGUUGUGGUGACCCCGAACCAAAGCAUUAUUUUUGUUGCUACGUCAUAACUGUAGUUUUGCUAUUGUUAUGAAUCAUAAUGUAAAUACCUGUGUUUCCUGAUGGUCUUAGGUGACCCCUGUGAGUGGCUCAUUUGACCCACAAAGAGGUCUCGACCCACAGGCUGAGAACCCCUGGAGUAGAAGAAAAGAAAAUUCUGAGAAUGUGUGGAAGAACGGGUUCUCAGUGCUGCAAUCUCAUCAAAGGGGACAGGACACAAACAUCAGACCUAACCCAAAGGCCAUGGCCCCCCAAGGAGCACAGUAUGUAAAAGUGUAUGAAGGAAUUAGACUUUUAUGAGGCAGCACACAUAGCAAUUAGAAAACAAUGUCUCACAGACUCCCAGAGCAGGACAGUAAUAAAGGAAAGGUAGAAAACUGUGGCCCUAAGUAGCAGGGGACACCUCCUCCCUUGUGACUGGGAUAAAAGAGGAUACCCAAGAGCUGUGAUAGGUAGGAAGUUAUGGGCACGUGUAAUCUAUCUGGUGGCUUGUGGUUUUUUUUCUUUCUUUGUGUGAGAUUGACAGGAAGGUAGUGACACCAUGCCCA
rnacentral:lncRNA from 1 species